AUUGAACGCUGGCGGCAUGCCUUACACAUGCAAGUCGAACGGCAGCACGGGAGCAAUCCUGGUGGCGAGUGGCGAACGGGUGAGUAAUAUAUCGGAACGUGCCCGGUCGUGGGGGAUAACGUAGCGAAAGCUACGCUAAUACCGCAUACGAUCUACGGAUGAAAGCGGGGGGAUCGCAAGACCUCGCGCGAUUGGAGCGGCCGAUAUCAGAUUAGGUAGUUGGUGAGGUAAAGGCUCACCAAGCCGACGAUCUGUAGCUGGUCUGAGAGGACGACCAGCCACACUGGGACUGAGACACGGCCCAGACUCCUACGGGAGGCAGCAGUGGGGAAUUUUGGACAAUGGGCGCAAGCCUGAUCCAGCAAUGCCGCGUGCAGGAUGAAGGCCUCGGUUGG
rnacentral:rRNA from 1 species